rnacentral:rRNA from 1 species
CCUACGGGUGGCUGCAGUGAGGAAUAUUGGUCAAUGGGCGCGAGCCUGAACCAGCCAAGUAGCGUGAAGGAUGAAUGCCCUACGGGUUGUAAACUUCUUUUAUAAAGGAAUAAAGUGAGGCACGUGAGCCUUUUUGUAUGUACUUUAUGAAUAAGGAUCGGCUAACUCCGUGCCAGCAGCCGCGGUAAUACGGAGGAUCCGAGCGUUAUCCGGAUUGAUUGGGUUUAAAGGGAGCGUAGAGGGGUUGUUAAGUCAGUUGUGAAAGUUUGCGGCUCAACCGUAAAAUUGCAAUUGAUACUGGCAGCCUUGAGUACAGUAGAGGUAGGCGGAAUUCGUGGUGUAGCGGUGAAAUGCUUAGAUAUCACGAAGAACUCCGAUUGCGAAGGCAGCUUACUAAACUGCCACUGACAUUGAUGCUCGAAAGUGUGGGUAUCAAACAGGACUAGAUACCCGGGUAGUC